UCAAAUAAUGUUUAAUAAAUAAUAAUAAUAAUAAUAAAAAGGGGGUGAGGGUCUUAAUCUAAUAACAUGUAUAAAUCCAAAGCAGAA